rnacentral:lncRNA from 1 species
AAAUUACUUCUGACAGCUUCAGAAGGCUUUUCUCCUGGGGAGAUAGGGUGUGUGUGGGUAGAAAUGAGGGAUUGAUGCAUACCGACAGCUGUGUGUGUGCGCGCACGCGUGCUUGAGCCUGCCUUCCUGGUUGGGUGAGACGGGGCCAUAUAAAAGGGCGGAGCGGAGGGAAGGCCUUCUGGAUAGGACCAGUCUACAGCAAGUGGUGGGACGGUUUGCAGUUGCCAGGCACUUUUGGUUGGUUCGACACCAGACAGGCUGUGUGGACUGGAAGGCAAUCACCCCCUCCCCCCAUUUCCCUAAGCCCCCGAAAGGAUAAAACGGCACGGAAGGAACCUCUUCAUUCAUCUUGAAGGCGUUUGCUGCAGACAUGAUCAUUCGGCUUGGAAGACUGACGCCGGGAUACUUCCGACUCCUCCAGGUCAGUAAGACCUGUGACCCGUGUCUAUCUACAUUUUGGGCAAAUUAACCCU